AUUGAACGCUGGCGGCAGGCCUAACACAUGCAAGUCGAGCGGAUGAAGGGAGCUUGCUCCUGGAUUCAGCAGCGGACGGGUGAGUAAUGCCUAGGAAUCUGCCUGGUAGUGGGGGAUAACGUCCGGAAACGGGCGCUAGUACCGCAUACGUCUUGAGGGAGAAAGUGGGGGAUCUUCGGACUUCACGCUAUCAGAUGAGCCUAGGUCGGAUUAGCGAGCGGGUGGGGUAAAGGCCAACCAAGGCGACGAUCGGUGACUGGUCUGAGAGGAUGAGCAGGCACACCGGAAAGGAUGCCCGGUCAAGACUCGAACGAGAGGCAGCAGAGGGGAAUAUGGGACGAUGGAGGAGAGACUGAUCCAGCCUGGCCGCGUGUGUGAAGAAGGUCUGCCGAGUGUAAAGCGCUUUAAGUUGGGAGGAAGAGCAGUAAGUGAAGACCUGGCUGUGUCGACGCUAGCAACAGAAGAAGCACCGGCGAACGUC
rnacentral:rRNA from 1 species